rnacentral:rRNA from 1 species
GGAGGGGGCUAGCGUUGUUCGGAAUUACUGGGCGUAAAGCGCGCGUAGGCGGGCUGGUCAGUUGGGGGUGAAAUCCCGGGGCUUAACCUCGGAACUGCCCUCAAUACUACCAGUCUAGAGAUCGAGAGAGGUAAGUGGAAUUCCUAGUGUAGAGGUGAAAUUCGUAGAUAUUAGGAAGAACACCAGUGGCGAAGGCGGCUUACUGGCUCGAUACUGACGCUGAGGCGCGAAAGCGUGGGGAGCAAACAGGAUUAGAUACCCUGGUAGUCCACGCCGUAAACGAUGGGUGCUAGUUGUCGGGCGGCAUGCCGUUCGGUGACGCAGCAAACGCGUUAAGCACCCCCGCCUGGGGACUACGGUCGCAAGACUA